UUUGUUUUUAUGAAGCGUGAUGCAUGAGGAUGCAAAUGUUAUGCAUAUUUUAUUUUCAGGGAAUUUUCAUCACGAUUGUAGUUGUAUUAAGCAUUUAGAGAAAACAUAAAGUCAGGAAAUAAAAAUGAGGAUCAUCCUCUUCCAUUCAAAUAUUUAAAGUACGGAGUACAAAGGCAUAACCGCCCAAAUCGAUACAGCUCAAAUACUAACUGAAUAUAAGAAAAACAGAAGAAUCACACAGAAGUCUUUCGAGUUAUGAGUUCUUCUAAUUCAGAGUUGAACCUCUUCACCAUCCCCUCACACAUCAUAACAAAAUGGAUUACAGCAGGAUGUGUGUCAUGCUGGUCCAAUCCUUCCACUGCCUCUCUCAAUCUCCAAGGCAUUUCUUGGGUUAUCCAAUUGCAGAAUUGCACCAAACCGUUGAGCU
rnacentral:lncRNA from 1 species